rnacentral:rRNA from 1 species
AUUGAACGCUGGCGGCAGGCCUAACACAUGCAAGUCGAGCGAGCGGCGGACGGGUGAGUAAUGUCUAGGAACCUGCCAGAUGGAGAGGGCUACCGACUGGAGACGGUAGCUACUACCGCAUACCAUCAGGCCUGCCUCGAUGGGAUUAGCUAGUAGGUGGGGUAACGGCCCACCUAGGCGACGAUCCCUAGCGGGUCUGAGAGGAUGACCAGCCACACUGGAACUGAGACACGGUCCAGACUCCUACGGGAGGCAGCAGUGGGGAAUAUUGCACAAGGGGCGCAAGCCUGAUGCAGCCAUGCCGCGUGUGUGAAGAAGGCCUUCGGAUUGUAAAGCACUUUAAGUUGGGAGGCGUUACCAACAGAAUAAGCACCGGCUAACUUCGUGCCAGCAGCCGCGGUAAUAC